rnacentral:rRNA from 1 species
UCCGUAGGGGGCAAGCGUUGUCCGGAUUUAUUGGGCGUAAAGAGCGUGUAGGCGGCCAGGUAGGUCGGUUGUGAAAACUGGAGGCUCAACCUUCAGAGGUCGACCGAAACCAUCUGGCUAGAGUCCGGGAGAGGAGAGUGGAAUUCCUGGUGUAGCGGUGAAAUGCGCAGAUAUCAGGAAGGACACCCGUGGCGAAAGCGGCUCUCUGGAACGGUACUGACGCUGAGACGCGAAAGCGUGGGGAGCGAACAGG